AAUAAGUAUAGUUUUACACUAUUCACAUUUAAUGUUUGACUGUUCGUCUUAUUUGAAAUUUUUUUUAUGAUUAGUAUUUUUAUUGCUAUUAGAUGAUAAAACAUGAAUAAUACUUUAUGUGUGACUAAAUAUUUUUAAAUUUUUCACAAAAUUUCAAAUAAAACGAAUGGUCAAAUGUUGGGCACGGAUAUCCACGGCUGCACUUAUU
rfam:Oryza barthii chromosome 6, whole genome shotgun sequence.